GUAAUACGUAGGGUGCGAGCGUUGUCCGGAAUUAUUGGGCGUAAAGAGCUCGUAGGCGGCCUGUCGCGUCGGAUGUGAAAGCCCGGGGCUUAACCCCGGGUCUGCAUUCGAUACGGGCAGGCUAGAGUGUGGUAGGGGAGAUCGGAAUUCCUGGUGUAGCGGUGAAAUGCGCAGAUAUCAGGAGGAACACCGGUGGCGAAGGCGGAUCUCUGGGCCAUUACUGACGCUGAGGAGCGAAAGCGUGGGGAGCGAACAGGAUUAGAUACCCUGGUAGUCCACGCCGUAAACGUUGGGAACUAGGUGUUGGCGACAUUCCACGUCGUCGGUGCCGCAGUUAACGCAUUAAGUUCCCCGCCUGGGGAGUACGGCCGCAAGGCUAAAACUCAAAGGAAUUGACGGGGGCCCGCACAAGCAGCGGAGCAUGUGGCUUAAUUCGACGCAACGCGAAGAACCUUACCAAGGCUUGACAUAUACCGGAAACGGCCAGAGAUGGUCGCCCCCUUGUGGUCGGUAUACAGGUGGUGCAUGGUUGUCGUCAGCUCGUGUCGUGAGAUGUUGGGUUAAGUCCCGCAACGAGCGCAACCCUUGUUCUGUGUUGCCAGCAUGCCUUUCGGGGUGAUGGGGACUCACAGGAGACUGCCGGGGUCAACUCGGAGGAAGGUGGGGACGACGUCAAAUCAUCAUGCCCCUUAUGUCUUGGGCUGCACACGUGCUACAAUGGUCGGUACAAAGGGCUGCGAUGCCGCGAGGCGGAGCGAAUCCCAAAAAGCCGGCCUCAGUUCGGAUUGGGGUCUGCAACUCGACCCCAUGAAGUUGGAGUUGCAGAAAUCGCAGAUCAGAUUCGUUAA
rnacentral:rRNA from 1 species